rnacentral:tRNA from 1 species
GCCCCGGUCGUCUAGCCCGGUCAGCCUGCGCGGCCGACAGGAUAUUGGCCUUUCGAGCCAAGGAUCCCGGGUUCAAAUCCCGGCCGGGGCACCA